GAAGCGUCUCUGGGUGAGUGACCGGUGCUUGUCGGUGCCUGCCCCUGCACCCCGCCGCCCCACCAUGCUCUCAGUGUGACCAGAUCCCACCCUGGGGCUGCCCACACCCUCUGCCCCCUCUGUCUGGACGUCCCCUUGCUCUCUCGCCCUCCUGACCCCUUUGCGUGGCUGCCCCUCCUUCUGAUCUGUCCCCACAGAUGGCAGCCGGGAGUAUGUGAAUGUGUCCCAGGAACUGCAUCCUGGAGCGGCUAAGACUGAGCCUGCCGCCCUGAGUUCCCAGGAGGCAGAGGAAGUGGAGGAAGAGGGGGCUCCAGAUUACGAGAAUCUGCAGGAGCUGAACUGAGGGCCUGUGGAGGCCGAGUCUGUCCUGGAACCAGGCUUGCCUGGGACGGCUGAGCUGGGCAGCUGGAAGUGGCUCUGGGGUCCUCACAUGGCGUCCUGCCCUUGCUCCAGCAUGACAACAGCCUGAGAAAUCCCCCCGUAACUUAUUAUCACUUUGGGGUUCGGCCUGUGUCCCCCGAACACUCUGCACCUUCUGACGCAGGCUGAGAAUGACCUGCCCUGGCCCCAGCCCUACUCUGUGUAAUAGAAUAAAGGCCUGCGUGUGUCUGUGUUGA
rnacentral:sRNA from 1 species